rnacentral:rRNA from 1 species
AACGAACGCUGGCGGCGCGCCUAAUACAUGCAAGUCGAGCGAGAAGACGUAGCAAUACGUUUGUAAAGCGGCGAACGGGUGAGGGAAUACAUGGGUAACCUACCCUCGAGUGGGGAAUAACUAGCCGAAAGGUUAGCUAAUACCGCGUACGCUCCUUGGACUUCGGUUCAGGGAGGAAAGCGAUACCGUGGGUAUCGCGCUCUUGGAUGGGCUCAUGUCCUAUCAGCUUGUUGGCGAGGAACGGCUCACCAAGGCUUCGACGGGUAGCUGGUCUGAGAGGACGAUCAGCCACACUGGCACUGCGACACGGGCCAGACUCCUACGGGAGGCAGCAGUAAGGAAUAUUGCGCAAUGGGCGAAAGCCUGACGCAGCGACGCCGCGUGGGGGAUGAAGGUCUU